rnacentral:lncRNA from 1 species
GUCUAGUCAAGGAAAACUAGUGGCACCCUAAUUUCAUAGAUCCACCACCAAUUGUACAAGACAUGGGACGGUGCAAGUUUUAGUUGGGAGGGCAUACUAACUUAAACUUUGUGAGGGAUCGUUCUACUUCUAACAUCACAUUAUGCAGAAAGUAAAACAUAAAGAAUAGCAUUCACACAGUUGUGACACAGUAUGGCCCGUUUUCUUAUGGUGAUCUCCAUCUCCAUAGAACC